GCGGUCGUGGCGGAACUGGCAGACGCGCAAGACUAAGGAUCUUGUGGUUCACCCCAUGCAGGUUCGAUUCCUGUCGACCGCACCA
rnacentral:tRNA from 1 species